CAAAAGUAAGCUGAGAACCCACGCACGCUCUUUCUCAGGGAAGGCGUUGAGCAGCUGAAUGAUGUUAACUUCUCGGUAAUUCAUGCACGCCUUGACUCGACUUCUCCAAUUUCCAAGGUUCCCUCUCUUUUCUCCACCUCAUAACAAAUUAUCUUCACCGGUUUGGGGAUCAAAAGCAAAGAAACACAGAAAGGUUCGAAUCCCACUUCUUUAUCCCUCUGAUCGACUAAUAAUGGACCCUGAGGCCGAAGUGAUCCUUGCUCCAUUGCGAGCUUCUGUCAAAGAACAAGGAGAUUUGGUUCGAAGUCUCAAGCAAUCCAAUGGAGACAAACUUGAGAUUCAACGGGCUGUUGCUGAAUUGAAAACGAGGAAAAAAACCUUGGAGGAGAAAGAAAUUGCUCUGGCCCCUGUAGAGCUAAAUUUUGAUCGAAACAAGAUGGAGGAUCUUCUCAAAAGACGAUUCUUUUAUGAUCAAUCCUUUGCUAUUUAUGGUGGCGUCUCGGGGCAAUUUGAUUUGGGCCCAAUGGGAUGCGCCACUAAAUCCAAUCUUUUGUCUGCAUGGAAAAAAUACUUUGUUCUUGAGGAACAAAUGCUUGAGGUAGACUGCACUUCUCUCACUCCUGAAGUGGUACUCAAAGCCUCUGGUCAUGUUGAUAAAUUUGCUGAUCUCAUGGUCAAAGAUUUGAAGAAUGGAGAGUGUUUCAGAUUAGAUCAUUUGAUCAAGUCUCACCUUGAUUCCAUCAAAGCCAGUGGUAAAACGUCCGAAGAUACUAAAAAAGAGUGUGAAUUAAUCAUAUCCCGUUUGGAUGGAUUGACCAAGCAAGAAAUGUCCGAUGUUCUUCAAAAGUUUUCAAUUAAAUCUCCCAUUACUGGGAAUGAUCUCUCAGAGCCUCUUGAAUUCAAUCUUAUGUUUGAAACGCGCAUUGGACCUACUGGUCUAAUGAAGGGUUUUUUGAGACCUGAAACAGCUCAGGGCAUUUUCGUUAACUUUAAAAGGCUCUUGGAAUUCAACCAAGGGAAAUUGCCUUUUGCCGCUGCUCAAAUUGGUAAUGCUUACAGAAAUGAAAUAUCUCCUCGCUCUGGAUUGCUUCGUGUACGUGAAUUUACUAUGGCAGAAAUUGAGCACUUUUGUGACCCUUCAGACAAAUCUCAUCCUAAGUUUGAAAACGUCAAAGGCAUAGACCUCAAUUUACUCUCCGCCUCUAAUCAAAUGGACGGAAAGUCUGCCGUUAAAACUACCAUAGGGGAGGCUGUUCAUUCGAAACUCGUAGACAAUGAGACUCUUGGGUAUUUCAUGGCAAGAAUACAGAUGUUCCUUGUCAGAAUUGGAACUGAUCCUAAACGCCUUCGUUUUAGACAACAUAUGAGCAAUGAAAUGGCCCAUUACGCAUGCGAUUGCUGGGAUGCAGAAUUGCUUACGUCCUACGGUUGGGUCGAAUGUGUUGGUUGUGCCGACAGAUCAGCUUUUGAUUUGAAACAACACACCAAGGCUACAGGAGUGAAAUUAGUUGCUGAAAAGAAACUUCCAGCUCCAAUCAAAGUACCCAUCGUUGAAAUCAUUUCAAAAAAAGAAGUUCUCGGCAAAGUCUUCAGAAAGGAAUCGAAGAUUAUAAUUGAGGCUCUGAGUGAGUAUCAGGAUAUUGAUGGUUUUGAAAAAGGACUGAAUGAAAGCGGUACAUUUAAAUUGGAGAUCGAUGGUAAAUUCUAUGAGGUAACAAAGGAAAUGGUUUCAAUUAAAAGAAAGGAAGUUCUUAAACAUGUCGAGGAACUUAUUCCCUCUGUCAUUGAGCCAUCUUUUGGUGUGGGUCGAAUCAUGUAUGCCUUGUUUGAGCAUAAUUUCAAAAUGCGGAAGGAUGAUGAACAAAAAACAUAUAUAUCCCUUCCUCCCAUUAUUGCUCCAUUGAAAUGCUCGGUUCUUCCUCUGUCUAACAACGUUGAAUUUACUCCACUCAUAAAAAAACUUUCCAAUUUACUGACUGAGGCAGAGAUCAGUCACAAAGUAGAUGAUUCAUCUGGAUCUAUUGGGCGACGCUAUGCUCGAACGGAUGAAAUUGCUAUUCCUUUUGGUAUUUGUAUUGAUUUUGACUCCUUGAAAGAUGAUCCUCCAACUGCCACGCUCAGAGAAAGAGAUUCGACACUUCAAGUACGAAUGAAGAUUGAAGAAAUACCUCAAAUUAUCAAGUCAAUGUCAGAUGGGAAGCUAACUUGGGAUAAAGUAUUGGAGAAAUAUCCCAAGUUUGAGCAAAAAGAAUCGAAGAAAUGAAUUUCUUAAUUCAACUCAUUAUACUUCUUGUCUGUUCAUACCUAAGAAAUAAUAUAAAAGAUGUCGAAAUGAAUAAUUUAGAAAAUGUCGGCUACUGACAAUAAUCAGACCGAACAUAACUGCGAGGGUUCAGAG
rnacentral:misc_RNA from 1 species